AAAAUCAGCAUUUGUCACGCAAUGCUCGUAUCGCGAUAUUUUGAGUUCAGCAAUAACCGUGCAUGUGAAAUUAUUGUAUUUCAAUCGAUCUUGAAACGUCAAAGAUUUGGAUAUCCGGUUAGGUUUACCGCGCGCUCCGAACACACUAUUGUAUAUAUUAUUGAAAACUUUCCGCGGGUUAACGUCACAAUAAAUUGUGCUUCGAAAUAUAUUAUUGUCAACGGAAUUUUUUU